CCUUGUACACACCGCCCGUCACACCAUGGAGUCGUUUGCUCCAGAAGUGGCUAUGCCAACCCGCAAGGGAGGUAGGUCCCAAGGAGUGAACGGUAACUGGGGUG
rnacentral:rRNA from 1 species